rnacentral:rRNA from 1 species
CCUACGGGAGGCAGCAGUGGGGAAUAUUGCUCAAUGGGCGCAAGCCUGAUCCAGCAACGCCGCGUGAAGGAAGACGGGUUUCUGCUCGUAAACUUCUAUCAACAGGGACGAAAGAAAUGACGGUACCUGAAUAUGAAGCCCCCGCUAACUACGUGGCAGCAGCCGCGGUAAUACGUAGGGGGCAAGCGUUAUUCGGAAUGACUGGGUGUAAAGGGUGAGUAGGCGGCAUGGUAAGCCAGAUGUGAAAGCCUUGGGCUUAACCCGAGGAUUGCAUUUGGAACUAUGAAGCUAGAGUGCAGGAGAGGAAAGCGGAAUUCCGAGUGGAGCGGUGAAAUGCGUAGAUAUUAGGAAGAACACCAGUGGCGAAGGCGGCUUUCUGGACUGAAACUGACGCUGAGGCACGAAAGCGUGGGGAGCGAACAGGAUUAGAUACCCUUGUAGUC